rnacentral:rRNA from 1 species
GAUGAACGCUGGCGGCGUGCCUAAUACAUGCAAGUCGAGCGAACGGACGAGAAGCUUGCUUCUCUGAUGUUAGCGGCGGACGGGUGAGUAACACGUGGAUAACCUACCUAUAAGACUGGGAUAACUUCGGGAAACCGGGGCUAAUACCGGAUAAUAUUUUGAACCGCAUGGUUCAAAAGUGAAGGACGGUCUUGCUGUCACUUAUAGAUGGAUCCGCGCUGCAUUAGCUAGUUGGUAAGGUAACGGCUUACCAGGGCAACGAUGCAUAGCCGACCUGAGAGGGUGAUCGGCCACACUGGAACUGAGACACGGUCCAGACUCCUACGGGAGGCAGCAGUAGGGAAUCUUCCGCAAUGGGCGAAAGCCUGACGGAGCAACGCCGCGUGAGUGAUGAAGGUCUUCGGAUCGUAAAACUCUGUUAUUAGGGAAGAACAUAUGUGUAAGUAACUGUGCACAUCUUGACGGUACCUAAUCAGAAAGCCACGGCUAACUACGUG